rnacentral:lncRNA from 1 species
UAUAUAAAUAACUGUGUAUAAAUAAAAUCUAAUUAAUUAGCUAAAUGUUCACCAAGUCAUGUUUACACAAAUUUCAACUUGUACACCACUAUAAAAAAUAAUAUGCGGUAUGAUUGCAAAUGAGACAACUUUUCACCAGUGACAAAAUGAUAUGGAAGUUAGCAACUCAAGGUUCAAUAAUUUCUGUUUACAAAAAACAUGAUGCACAUCAAGAUCUGUUUUAAAAAAUCACAAUACAUGUCUGUACAGAAUUUUAUUUCUGGUAAUUUCAUUCAAAGUAAAUGGACGAAUAUUUAAAAAAAAGUUUGAUUUUUGCAUUUAAAAAAAAUGUCAUCAAAUACAGCAUUCAGUCUCGUGCAUUUAGCUUUCCGAUCUCAGCUUUGUCACACAAACAUAUACAUACAAAGACUUACAAACACGCGCACCUAUUAAAAAUACAAAAUGCAUAGAUCAGCACACUUAGAUAAUAAUUCAAUUUGUACAAAUGCAAACAGGUUUUCUUUUAAAGUAAAAUAAAAAACAAAAACAAAAAAAAACAAAAAAAAAACAAAAAAAAACAGAAAGCAUAUACAACUCUACAAUUUUGUUUUAACCGUAAUUUCUGUCUAGAAAUAGAAAAUAAAAAAGUUACUCAUUGUUUGAUCAAGUUAAACUUAAUAUUAUAAAGGUUUUUUUUUUUCAUUUAGAGAUUGCCUGACUGAUAAUGAUACAACAUGCAAUACCACAUAUCAAAGAAAUAACUUGCUUUUGUUGGUUGCUUUUCAUCAUGAUAAUACGUUUUUAACUAUGAUCUCGAGAUUCCAUAUCGAUGACAUAAUUGAUUCUAUAUUUUUUUCAAAUACUUAUUUGCAAGAAUUGUUGCAACUCUUGGUAACCCCAGCAUGAAUAUCUAAGAAACAUUUAAUCCAACAUAAGCAUCUAAGAAACAUGUAAUCCAACAUAAAUAUCUAACAAUCAUUUAACCCAACAAUUAAUUUAGAAUGAUGUUAUAUACAGAUAAUAACAAUAAUAGCAACAGGUAAAGCAUUCACCAUAAACAAGUUCAUCAACAACAAUAGUCACGCAUAAGUAUGUAUUAAUUAAAUCUGCAUCUGCAAAUAUGUGCGCUAAAUACUUUUGAAUGUUAGAAUGACAAAACUUCUUACACUUAAACACCACAAUGUCCAAAAGGCUUUUCCCAAAGGAACAAUUAUGAUCGAUGUCCAACGCUUUAAUUUCCGAUCAGUUUGCAUGACCUUUUAUUCUCUAAACAAAAUUUAAAAAAAAGCGUUGAUUGAAACAUGCCCAAUUAUGUAUGUUGUAAAAUAAGUUUCCUUUUUCACUUAUGCUGAGUUCACACGUAAUUUGAAUUCGAUUCGCAUUAACUAAUUCGAAUUAGUUUAAUUCGCAUUCUAAACGUUUAACGUCCUUACGUCAAUUCUAAUUCGCAUUGCAAUGCGCGUCAAAUUCCAUCUACUAUCCGAACGACGUAAACUUUUAAUUCGUAUUAACAAAAACGUAUUUCUAAAGCGAAUUGGGUUAUUCGAAUUAGCUAAUUCGAACCAAUUCGAAUUAAAGAAGAA